AGUGAACGCUGGCGGUAGGCCUAACACAUGCAAGUCGAGCGGCAGCACAGUAAGAGCUUGCUCUUACGGGUGGCGAGUGGCGGACGGGUGAGGAAUACAUCGGAAUCUACUUUUUCGUGGGGGAUAACGUAGGGAAACUUACGCUAAUACCGCAUACGACCUACGGGUGAAAGCAGGGGAUCUUCGGACCUUGCGCGAUUGAAUGAGCCGAUGUCGGAUUAGCUAGUUGGCGGGGUAAAGGCCCACCAAGGCGACGAUCCGUAGCUGGUCUGAGAGGAUGAUCAGCCACACUGGAACUGAGACACGGUCCAGACUCCUACGGGAGGCAGCAGUGGGGAAUAUUGGACAAUGGGCGAAAGCCUGAUCCAGCCAUACCGCGUGGGUGAAGAAGGUCUUCGGGUUGUAAAGCUCUUUUAUUAGGAAAGAAAAGAUGCAGAUGAAUCCCUCGAUGUUCUGACGGUACCCAAAGAGAAAGCAACGGCUAACUUCGUG
rnacentral:rRNA from 1 species